rnacentral:misc_RNA from 1 species
AACGCACCUUGCACUGUAUGGAAUCCCAGACAGUAUGCCUGUUUGAGUAUCAACAAAGAACUCUCCAAGACACUUGUUGUCCGAGGAGGAUUUGAUGCAUUGUUCAUUGCGGACAUGCGUCGUAAUACAUUGAGUGGAUUGCAGCUGAACAUCACUGCCGACAGAGCUAGUCUGAGUCAUUUUGAUACAGACGCACCUGUCCAGUGUCACUACGAUCAUCUCAUUAUUAAAUCAUGAAUACUCCAAACUUGAUCUCAAAUUAGGCAAGAGUACCCGCUGAACUUAA